CCUACGGGUGGCAGCAGUGAGGAAUAUUGGUCAAUGGACGCAAGUCUGAACCAGCCAUGCCGCGUGCAGGAAGACGGUUCUAUGUGUUGUAAACUUCUUUUGUCCGGGGGUAAACGCAGAUACGCGUAUCUGUCUGAGUGUAUCGUACGAAUAAGCAUCGGCUAACUCCGUGCCAGCAGCCGCGGUAAUACGGAGGGGGCAAGCGUUGUCCGGAUUUACUGGGUGUAAAGGGCGUGCAGCCGGAGAGACAAGUCAGAGGUGAAAUCCACGGGCUCAACCCGUGAACUGCAGUUGAAACUGGUUCCCUUGAGUGUCGGAGAGGUAAGCGGAAUGCCUGGUGUAGCGGUGAAAUGCGUAGAUAUAAGGAAGAACACCAGUGGCGAAGGCAGAUUACUGGACGAUAACUGACGGUGAGGCGCGAAAGCGUGGGGAUCAAACAGGAUUAGAUACCCCAGUAGUC
rnacentral:rRNA from 1 species